UAAGCAUAUCAAUAAGCGGAGGAAAAGAAACUAACAAGGAUUCCCCUAGUAGCGGCGAGCGAAGCGGGAAGAGCUCAAAUUUAUAAUCUGGCACCUUCGGUGUCCGAGUUGUAAUCUCUAGAAAUGUUUUCCGCGUUGGACCGCACACAAGUCUGUUGGAAUACAGCGGCAUAGUGGUGAGACCCCCGUAUAUGGUGCGGACGCCCAGCGCUUUGUGAUACAUUUUCGAAGAGUCGAGUUGUUUGGGAAUGCAGCUCAAAUUGGGUGGUAAAUUCCAUCUAAAGCUAAAUAUUGGCGAGAGACCGAUAGCGAACAAGUACCGUGAGGGAAAGAUGAAAAGCACUUUGGAAAGAGAGUUAACAGUACGUGAAAUUGUUGGAAGGGAAACGCUUGAAGUCAGACUUGCUUGCCGAGCAAUCGGUUUGCAGGCCAGCAUCAGUUUUCCGGGAUGGAUAAUGGUAGAGAGAAGGUAGCAGUUUCGGCUGUGUUAUAGCUCUCUGCUGGAUACAUCUUGGGGGACUGAGGAACGCAGUGUGCCUUUGGCGGGGGUUUCGACCUCUUCACACUUAGGAUGCUGGUGGAAUGGCUUUAAACGACCCGUCUUGAAACACGGACCAAGGAGUCUAACAUGCUUGCGAGUAUUUGGGUGUCAAACCCGGAUGCGUAAUGAAAGUGAAUGGAGGUGGGAACCGCAAGGUGCACCAUCGACCGAUCUGGAUUUUUAAUGAUGGAUUUGAGUAAGAGCACGUAUGUUGGGACCCGAAAGAUGGUGAACUAUGCCUGAAUAGGGCGAAGCCAGAGGAAACUCUGGUGGAGGCUCGUAGCGGUUCUGACGUGCAAAUCGAUCGUCAAAUUUGGGUAUAGGGGCGAAAGACUAAUCGAACCAUCUAGUAGCUGGUUCCUGCCGAAGU
rnacentral:rRNA from 1 species